GACGAACGCUGGCGGCGUGCUUAACACAUGCAAGUCGAACGAAAAAUCAUUGAAAGCUUGCUGAUAUGAUUUUAGUGGCGGACGGGUGAGUAACGCGUGAGGACUUGUCUUAUACAGGGGGACAACAGUUGGAAACGGCUGCUAAUACCCCAUAAGCCUUAGGGUAAAAGGAGUAAUCCGGUAUUAGAGAGACUCGCGUCCUAUCAGCUAGUAGGUGAGGUAACGGCUCACCUAGGCGAAGACGGGUAGCCGGCCUGAGAGGGCGAACGGCCACACUGGAACUGAGACACGGUCCAGACUCCUACGGGAGGCAGCAGUGGGGAAUAUUGGGCAAUGGGGGCAACCCUGACCCAGCGACGCCGCGUGAGUGAAGAAAUCCCUCGGGAUGUAAAGCUCUGUUGUGUGGGAAGAUAAUGACGGUACCACACGAGGAAGCCCCGGCAAACUACGUGCCAGCCGCCGCCGUAACAC
rnacentral:rRNA from 1 species